CUAUCUGUCUUUCAGGCAUCGUUUUGUUAUUCUGGAUCAUGUUGAUCCAUGACCUUUUGGAAGUUCAUAGAUUUCUCUUUUAACCAGAAAGGAGGUAAAUUGUACAUCUUUAAUCACUUUAAAUGUAUCACAAAUGAUGGUCAUAUUUAUCAGCAUGACUGCCAUACAAAGUCGUCACAUUGGUCUCUGUAGCUGUAGAAGAGAAUCUAGUGUUUUGGAUCAGCUGUGGAACUUAAGAAAUCAUCACCCAAGCACCAAGAAAGAGCCAUGCUGGAAGAACCAUCUCAUCUCUUCUUUCUUGAACCAUCCAUGUUGGUGGUAGAACUUUGGGGAAAGGUUUGGAUUUCUGAAGAGGAAGGACAAUGUCUUUCUUUGGAGGUAACCAAUAUAAUGAAG